CCUACGGGUGGCAGCAGUGGGGAAUAUUGCACAAUGGGGGAAACCCUGAUGCAGCGACGCCGCGUGAGUGAAGAAGUAAUUUGUUAUGUAAAGCUCUAUUAGCCGGGAAGAAAAUGACGGUCCUUGAGUAAGAAGCCCCGACUAUCUAAGUGCCCGCAGCCGCGGUCAUACGGAGGGGGCACGCGUAUUCCGGAUUUACGGGUUGUAAGGGGAGCGUAGACGGCAGUGAAAGUCUGGAGGGAAAGGCGGGGGCGCAACCCGCGGAGUGCCCUGGAAACUGGACGGCUGGCGUGCAGGAGAGGUAAGUGGAAUGCGUGGUGUAGCGGUGAAAUGCGUAGAUAGUAGGAGGAACACCAGUGGCGAAGGCGGCUUACUGAACUGUAACUGACGUUGAUGCACGAAAGCGUGGGGAGCAAACAGGAUUAGAUACCCGAGUAGUC
rnacentral:rRNA from 1 species